UACGGAGGGUGCAAGCGUUAUCCGGAUUCACUGGGUUUAAAGGGUGCGUAGGCGGCGCGGUAAGUCGGGUGUGAAAUCUCGGAGCUUAACUCCGAAACUGCAUUCGAUACUGCCGUGCUUGAGGACUGGAGAGGAGACUGGAAUUUACGGUGUAGCGGUGAAAUGCGUAGAUAUCUGGAGGAACACCGGUGGCGAAGGCGGCAUCCUGGACCAACACUGACACUGAGGAGCGAAAGCCAGGGGAGCAAACGGG
rnacentral:rRNA from 1 species